GACAGGGAAGACAGACAGCGACUGUAAACUGUUAUUUUGUGUAGUCGAUUCUGCUUUUUACGCUAUUUGUUCAGUUAUUUUCGUUGUUUAAUAAACAAAAGUGGAAAUUACAUUCUUCGUACAGUUCGUGUCAUGCAAUUGAAAAUAUAAUUGCCCCUAAUUAAAGGAAAAAAAGAUAUUUCACCAAGAAUGGAUUUACUUUAUACGACGCAUCGAAAAAGCAACUUCGUCACUCAUACAUUGGCUGAAACACAUCAAAAUUUUGAGCUAUUUUGUGCCGCUUCAUCGUGCAAUGUGCUAGCAUUUACCACAGCUAGCGAGUUAACAGAGCAGUCUCCUAUUCAAAGCUGGGGAUUUCAUAUCUAUGUAGUGGACCUCAAUACUCCAUGGUUUCCGUACAAAGUAACAUCGAGCAAAUAUCCCAUAUCAACACUAGAGUGGGACGUACUUGGUCGGUUUCUGCUGGUGGGUGAUCGUAAUGGAAAUGUCCAACUGUUCACACAGAAAGAUAAUCUACUCUCGGAAUGGAAGCCAUUGUAUAGUGUGCGGUUUCCGGGGGAGAAUAUCAUUGCCGCUGCAUUCUUUCACAACGGUCGAAGGAUGGCUCUACAGACGGAUAAAAAAGAUCAGUAUUUGUAUCUAGAAAAGUUCCACAAGGCUAAGUUUAUUGCGAGCGUUCGGCAGUUUGGCGGUGUUCCAGUGGAAGGUGUGUUAGUAGUUUCUGCGACUGGAAUGCUGGGUGCGUUCAUUAUCCCUGCAGAAUCGAAUGCUAACAUUCAAAAAAUACAGGAACCGAUUCAGCUGACUCCGGUGACAGAAAGUUUGGGAGUAACGAGAAACUUCUAUACGACUGCUAGUAUAUGUUAUUCUAGGAAUGGAAGUUUGAUGGUGGCUGUUGGAAACGGAGAUACCAAGUCUGCUAACUCUAGUAUGAUACAAUGCUUUCGUAUUACAAUAAAGAAAAAUACAGACAAAUUGGAGAUCAAUAGCACUGCCUUACCGAGUUUUUUCUUAGCAGAAGGCUUAGGCAAAGAUUUAAAGGAUCUGCGAGUAAUGCAUGUUAAGUGGGUUUUUACGGAAGAUGCCGACUCGUUGAUUGUAGCAUCGAAUCAUGCUGGCGGGGGAAGUUUCGUUGAACAGUGGGAACUGACGGAAGAAUCGACGCCCAUACACAAAUUACUGCAAAGUAAUAAGAAUGAAGUCUUCAAAACUUUACUCUGGAUUAGCAAAAACCAAUACCGUUACAAUACUAGGGUGAUGAAGAUCUGCACUACUAGGUUAAAUUUUUUGAACUGUUCUUUCAUAUAUUUGGCGAUGAGUGACAACAGUAUUCACUGUCUCCAGAGAGAUACCUUCAAACGCCUGACUUGUGCUAACAUUGUUUCGAUUCGCGAUCCCAAUGACCAUUCGAAUAAACAAAUACGACUCGGUGUAAAAAUCGGAGCAAUCGACAUUUCUCAUUUGGGACAUCUUUUCAUAGCAUUGGACACGUUUGGUCAACUUUAUGUUCAUCGCUGCAAUUUUAUGUGCCAGGAUCAACUCGGUACACCGGCGCUAAUUGUGCAGACAGUGAAUCUUUUGGAAUACUGCUUAGUGACUGGUUUCGAUUGUUUGGACAUUUUACUAACGCUCAAAAUACAAAUUCUUGACAAUGUGUUAGAACGUUUAACAGAAAAUUUUCAUCGGCAGCCCUCUAAUGUGCAGCAGUAUUAUUAUGUAAAUUUUCUCACGAUGAAAAUCGCACUGUACAGACUUUCUAUUUCUGGACAACAGAAAGCUCAUGAUCUCUCAAACUUGCUAAUAUUGCAUUCGAUUCUGAUAGCUUUCAAGAGUUUACUAAGACCGUCGGAUUUAACAUCGCAUGAAAAGGGACCAGCAGAAAAUUUGGCAAUGGUUUUAUCGGAGUCCGUUCCGGACGUGGACAAAGUUUUACUAAAUUUGGAAGCGAAGGAUUUUACGAUGGAGCGAUCGACGCUUCAAAGUUUGCAACAGUUAAUUCAAUGGGUGGCAGAUUUGGCGCUGAAUAUUCUAGCAAAAUUGCCGGAGAAUCGAGCUUUUAUGUCUAAAUCUCAGGGAUAUGAUAUCAGCAAAGAUAUUGUAGCGCUCAAUAGCAUUCGCGAGCUUUUAGUCAUGAUUCGUAUCUGGGGUUUAUUGAACCCACAAUGUCUUCCUGUUUUUUCGCGUUCGGCGGAUAAUCUUGAUAUUUUGCUGACUCUCUUCCGGUUGCUUACUAAGCUAUCUCUGAAUCCAAAUGAACCGGACGAUUUAUUAUUAGAUGAGUGUUGCCUCCUUCCAAAUCAGGUUCUCAUUCCACAACUGCAAUUCGUUCCAUCGCGGACGAUGAUUGCUUCACCAUUGUUGCCCCACAUUAGUUUGCCUGUGAUGUGCGACUACGGAGUAGAAAACGAAGCACUCAAGUUCUGCCCUGAAGUGCCUAUUGUGGAAGGAGGGUUAUCGAAUGAUAACGUGAUAGAUUCCGUAAUGUACCUUCAGCUAGGUAGAAGGCCACCGUCGUUACGACGGUGCACUCGCUGUGGAUCAUGCAGUAGUGUGAUUAGUGUUGCGAAAACAGCUGCCAUGAAAGCAUGGGAACAGCGCUGGAUUGAUAAGUGCAGAUGCAACGGCUUUUGGCGACUCGAAGUGGCUUAGUGGUAAACUAAACUCAAAAUUCCUAGACAAGGUGGGUUUUCUCAAGUAGCAAAAUGAAUACCGCAGAAUCAUGCCUAAAAUACUCUCGGGGCGUCUGUUUCAACAACACAAUCGAAAUGGAAUAAAUGUACGUGUGUAGAUUAUUUUGAAUACUUAAUAAAAGUUUAUAUGCAUUAUGUUGUAAAAUGCGCAUCAGAUUACUAAAUUUA